CGUGUAGGCGGCUCAUCAAGUCUGGUGUGAAAACGCAAGGCUUAACCUUGCAUAGGCGCUGGAAACUGGUGGGCUUGAGUUCCUGAGGGGAAGCUGGAAUUUCAGGUGUAGGGGUGAAAUCUGUAGAUAUCUGGAAGAACACCGGUGGCGAAGGCGAGCUUCUAUCAGAGGACUGACGCUGAGGCGCGAAAGCGUGGGGAGCAAACAGGAUUAGAUACCCUGGUAGUCCACGCUGUAAACGAUGUGCACUAGGCGUGGGGCACGUACGUGCUCUGUGCCGUAGUUAACGUGAUAAGUGCACCGCCUGGGGAGUAUGCUCGCAAGGGUGAA
rnacentral:rRNA from 1 species